rnacentral:rRNA from 1 species
AGGAUGAACGCUGGCGGUAUGCUUUACACAUGCAAGUCGAACGCAAGUUUUUAACUUGAGUGGCGGACGGGUGAGUAACACGUGAGAAUUCACCUUUAGGUGGGGAAUAACUUUUGGAAACGAUAGCUAAUGCCCCAUAGACUCGAAAGAGAAAAAAGAGCAAUCUGCCUAAAGAGAAGCUCGCGGCUGAUUAGCUAGUUGGUAAGGUAAUGGCUUACCAAGGCGACGAUCAGUAGCUGGUUUGAGAGAACGAUCAGCCACACUGGAACUGAGACACGGUCCAGACUCCUACGGGAGGCAGCAGUGGGGAAUUUUCCGCAAUGGGCGAAAGCCUGACGGAGCAAUACCGCGUGAGGGAUGACGGCCUUUGGGUUGUAAACCUCUUUUAUCAAGGAGGAAGUUCUGACGUGUACUUGAUGAAUAAGCAUCGGCUAACUCCGUGCCAGCAGCCGC